rnacentral:sRNA from 1 species
UGAUGAAAAAUAUUUUCUAUGCGCGAU